rnacentral:rRNA from 1 species
CGCGUAGGCGGGCUCGCAAGUCCGGGGUGAAAGCCCCAGCUUAACUGGGAAGUGCCUUGGAAACUGCGGGUCUAGAGGGAGGUAGGGGCAUGUGGAACUUCGGUGGAGCGGUGAAAUGCGUUGAUAUCCGAAGGAACGCCGGUGGCGAAAGCGACGUGCUGGAUCUCUUCUGACGCUGAGGCGCGAAAGCCAGGGUAGCGAACG